CUAGGGGGAAUUCAUGUGGAUGAACAUCCUGCAGGUGGAUGGGCAGCGGGAGUCAUCUUUUCCCAGGGGGCUGUGAGAUGACUGUGGAUGAAGGCCCUUGCUUCCAAGCCUGACACCCCGAGUUUGACCCCUGUAACACACGUCAAACACCAGCUUCAGUGGCAAGCAUCCAUAAUUCCAGCACUCCUCUACCAAGAUAGAGGUGGAGACCAGGUCAUCAAUCACCCAGAAGCUCAUGUACACAGACAGCAGCAAAAAAAAUGACCAGAGAGCCUCCUGCCUCCAAAACAAGAGAACCUUGCCUAACACACCUCCCAAGGGCUGGUCAUCAAUCAAACUGCAGCCAGAAAAUAAUACCAGACGGGGACCCGGCAGACAGACACCUCCUCACACAGUGUCACUUACAGCCCAGGGGGUCUGUACAUUUUCCUGUGGUGAGUACAGCCAGGGGCUUUUUAGAUUUGUGGUACUCACUCUGGCUACUCUGCUCCCUCAUCAUGGACAGAAAGCGGGCAUGGACGCCAACCACGAUGCUGGACAGUCCUCAGGACUCAGGUUGCUAAUCUCUGA